GACGAACGCUGGCGGCGUGCUUAACACAUGCAAGUCGAACGGAAAGGCUCCAGCUUGCUGGAGUACUCGAGUGGCGAUCGGGUGAGUAACACGUGGGUAAUCUGCCCUGCACUCUGGGAUAAGCCUGGGAAACUGGGUCUAAUACUGGAUAUGACCUUUCUCCUUAUGGGGUUUGGUGGAAAGUUUUUCGGUGUAGGAUGAGCCCGCGGCCUAUCAGCUUGUUGGUGGGGUGAUGGCCUACCAAGGCGACGACGGGUAGCCGGCCUGAGAGGGUGAUCGGCCACAUUGGGACUGAGAUACGGCCCAGACUCCUACGGGAGGCAGCAGUGGGGAAUAUUGCACAAUGGGCGGAAGCCUGAUGCAGCGACGCCGCGUGAGGGAUGACGGCCUUCGGGUUGUAAACCUCUUUCAGCAGGGACGAAGCGUAAGUGACGGUACCUGCAGAAGAAGCACCGGCUAACUACGUG
rnacentral:rRNA from 1 species